GUAUGGAAGGGCCAUCGCUCAACGGAUAAAAGGUACUCCGGGGAUAACAGGCUGAUACCGCCCAAGAGUUCAUAUCGACGGCGGUGUUUGGCACCUCGAUGUCGGCUCAUCACAUCCUGGGGCUGAAGUAGGUCCCAAGGGUAUGGCUGUUCGCCAUUUAAAGUGGUACGCGAGCUGGGUUUAGAACGUCGUGAGACAGUUCGGUCCCUAUCUGCCGUGGGCGCUGGAG
rnacentral:rRNA from 1 species